UUUUUUUUUUUUUUUUUGGUAUGGCAAGUAUUAUCUCAGUCCUAUCUUUAAUGGAUGAAAACAUUCCUGAGUUUCAAUCAGUAAUGGCUUAUUCCGAGGAAUAUUUGGUACAUGAACAACACAGCACAACAGGAGCACCAAGAUAACCACUUCAGUGAUUUGACUUACAGGACUUUUGACAACCAGGUUGUUCUAUUUCUGGAAAAUAAGAAGUACACAUUGGAUAGGUCAAAAUCAAGGAAUAUUUUUAGGAAUAUAAAUUUGCUAGGUGCUGAAAGAUGUCACAUCAAAGUAACUAAUGGGGCUAUGUACGAUCAAUGGUCACCAGAAAAGGAAGCAAUACUAUGAAAAUGGAAAUAAAAGUUUUGCAUUAUAGAAAACAGACUGAUUAUAAACCUAUCUCACAUGUAUUUAAUACUAAUACUGGCUUUAACAGCAUGUAGAAUAUAUGUCCAUAAAUUUCCUCUUUUUCUUUUCUAUUUCUGAUAAAGAAGAAAUAUGAGAAUCACUGGGUCACUGCCUACUGGAGCUGUGAGAAGAGGGCCACAGUCCUCCAGACCCCAGAAUGGUAGAUCCACCAACAGCUUGCACUGUGUUCCUGGAGAAGCCUCAGACACUCAACACCAGCCUGUGAAAGUAGCCAGAAGUGGGGCUGUACCCUGCAAAGCCACAGAGGCAGAGCUGCACAAGGCCAUGGGAGCCCACCUCUUGCCUCAGAGUGACCUAAAUGUGAGACAUGGAGUCAAAGGAGUUCAUUUUGUAACUUUAAGAUUUAAUGAUUGCCCUAUUGGAUUCUGGACGUGGAUGGAGCCUGUAGCUCCUUUGUUUUGGCCAAUUUCUGCAAUUUGGAAUGGGUGUAUUUACCCAAUGCCUGUACCCCCAUUGUAUCUAGGAAGUAACUAAUUUGCUUUUGAUUUUACAGGCUCAUAGGCAGAAAGGAGUUGCCUUGUCUCAGAUGAGAAUUUGGACUUGGACUUUGGGUUAAUGCUGGAAUGAGUUAAGACUUUGGGGGACCGUUGGAAGGGUAUGAUUGUGUUUUGAAAUGUGAGGGCAUGAGAUUUGGGAGGAGCCAAGGCAGAGUGAUAUGGUUUGGCUGUGUCCCCACCCAAAUCUCAUCUUGAAUUGUAGUUUCCAUAAUCCCCAUGUGUCAUGGGAGGGACUUGGUGGGAGGGACCCGGUGGGAGGUAACUGAAUCAUGGGGGAAGUUACCCCCAUGCUGCUGUUCUUGUGAUGGUGAGUGAGGCUUUCUCCCUUUCACUCAGCACUUCUCCUUUCUGCCAUUAUGUGAAGAAGGACAUGUUUGCUUCCCCUUCUACCAUGAUUGUAAGUUUCCUGAGGCCUUCCCACCCGUGCAGAACUGUGAGUCAAUUAAACCUCUUUCCUUUAUAAAUUACCCAGCCUUGGAUGGUCUAUUAUAGCAGUGUGAGAAAGAUUAAUACAUCUUUCUAUUGUUAUUCUCAUUUGACCUUCUAAAUAAUGCAGACAAGGAGAGAGUGCUUUCCUCGUUUUCAUAUAGGGCAGAGGGAGGCUCAGAGGUCAUUUGCCUGAAAUCAUGAUGCUAGUUGGCAUCAUUGAGGUCUCAGACUCAGAGCACAGGCUGGGCAGAGGUGAGUGGAGCCACAACUCUGAAGAAGUGUUUCCUGAAACUGCUGCACCCACACACAGAGCAUAGAUAUCUAGAUGAGAGGGAAAGACAGUAGGGGAAAUGGCUUUAUGAUUGCAAAUAGGUCUUUAUUCUUCAUUAGCACCUUAUUUAUUUAUUUAUUUAUUUAGGCAUAUUUACUUAUCUAUUUAUUUUUUGAUUUGACAGGACCUGGUUCUAUUGCCCAGGCUGAAGUACAGUCAUGUGACUGUAGCUCCCUAUAGCCUUGACCUCCCAGGCCCAAGUGAUCCUCCUGCCUCAGCCUCCUGCAUAGCUGGGACUAUAGGCACAUGCCACCAUGCCUGGCUAACUUUCUAACUUUUUUGUAGAAAUAGGGUUUUGCUCUGUUGCCCAGGCUGGUCUCGAACUCCUGAGCUCAAGCAAUCUGCCUGCCUUGGCCUCCCAAAGGGCUGAGAUUACAAGCGUGAGCCACCAUGCUUGGCCCCAGUGCCAUAUUGAGAAGGAUCAAAGACAUCCUCACUGACACCCAGUGUUUCUGGAAUAUUCUGCUUGUCUUUUCUUGCAAGGCUUAGGAAGACACUAGUGCCCGCUCCAGGUAGGGUGAUAAAUUAUGAGGCUAGACUUGGAACAAGGGUGCUGACAUCUCAUGAGACCCCCAAACAGAACCCACGUCUCCUGGGACCAGGUCUGGGGGGCUCGCAGGAUCUAAGAAGCUUGUGUAUUGUAUCUCUUGGUUUCUCUAGGAACAUAGCAGAGCUUGUCAUGGCGCCCACUUCUCCUGGGGGCCUGUUCCACCACUCUCUCUUCAUCUUUUCGCUCCUCAUGGCUUUGUCACAAGCCGAGUUUGGUUUUCUUUCGGCCUCAGCUGCCUCAUGCCUCCCAUAGCUC
rnacentral:lncRNA from 1 species